rnacentral:rRNA from 1 species
AAUCAACGCUGGCGGCGUGCCUCAGACAUGCAAGUCGAACGCGAAAGUCCCCUUCGGGGGACAAGUAGAGUGGCGCACGGGUGAGUAACACGUAGGUAAUCCACCUUCGGAUGGGGAAUAACAACCGGAAACGGUUGCUAAUACCGCAUAAUGCAGCGGCACCUAAUGGUGACAGUUGUUAAAGCGGGGGAUCGAAAGACCUCGCGUCUGAAGAGGAGCCUGCGGCGGAUUAGCAGUUGGUAAGGUAACGGCUUACCAAGGCGACGAUCCGUAGCCGGCCUGAGAGGGCGGUCGGCCACACUGACACUGACAUACGGGUCAGACUCCUACGGGA